rnacentral:lncRNA from 1 species
CUCUUCCUUCCGAGGCAGCGGCGAUGGAGAACGUAGUCUGUGCCCUCCACCCCCGGACGCCUGCACCUCCCCGAUCUCGGCUCACAAGGUCCAGGAAGGGUGCUUCGCUGUGCAAGGGCUCGCACGCCGGGUGCUCUCUCUCCUUGUCUAAUCAGCUGCCUUCGCGGGAAUGCUUAACGUCUCCAACUCAGCGUGGACUCUACAGAUUCUAGAACAUUUUUCUUCGUGUCCAUACUGAAUGGCUUAGGACAAGGGAGCGUGUGGCUAAACCGCGUUGACCCUGCUUGUGUUCUAUUCUGGAGAUUAAAUUUACACGGGUAGGAGAGGCGAUCUGCUAAAAAUAGCCCGCCGAAAGUAAA